rnacentral:rRNA from 1 species
UACGUAGGGCGCAAGCGUUAUCCGGAAUUAUUGGGCGUAAAGAGCUCGUAGGCGGUUUGUCGCGUCUGCCGUGAAAGUCCGGGGCUCAACUCCGGAUCUGCGGUGGGUACGGGCAGACUAGAGUGAUGUAGGGGAGACUGGAAUUCCUGGUGUGGCGGUGAAAUGCGCAGAUAUCAGGAGGAACACCGGUGGCGAAGGCGGGUCUCUGGGCCGAUACUGACGCUGAGGAGCGAAAGCGUGGGGAGCGAACAGG